rnacentral:lncRNA from 1 species
GAAAUGUUCUAUUUAUAAGACUAAAUUAGGUAUGUAAUUUUAUCGUUUUAUCUCUGUAUAUCACAAUCAUACCAUUUUGAUCAACUUUAGUUUCAGUUGUUUUGUGAGAUAUGUACACGAUAUAACACGUUGAAUGCCUUACUAAUGUAGCCUAUUUCAACUAUUUCAUACUGUUCGCCACGAUUUUUGUGGAGUUUUGUUUUUAUUGUUUCCGCGUAAUGCGUUGUUGUGGACAUAGAAAUAUUUGUCGUCAUUAAAAACCGUCCUUUCGUCCACACGUCUGUCCGUCCAGUCUUGUUCAAUAGCGCGCUCUUACUAACAUAACAUUUUUUUAUAAAACUUAUAACAUAGGUUUACAUCAACAAUGUAUUCGACUAUAUUGUUCUAUACGCAGCUAUGAUCAUGUACAUGAUGUAUUUAUAAAAGAGAUAGAAUGUAUACAAGCCAUUUAGAAUCAUUAAUUAGAACAUCGCAUUGUAGCGCAAUCAUUUGUACAUGUUGUACAAUGUUAUAAAACUUAUACAAUAGGUUGGAUUAUUAAAAACUAAUACGAGCGCGAAAAGCAAUGCCAAUCAAUAAUUUUUAGGUUGACAAAUUAGACUUUAAAUGCCGGUAUCGGAUCAAAGCACACAAGAUAUUUAAAGAUUUUAAUUACCUGUGACCCAAUUGAAUCAUGGUGUUUAACUGUUUAGUAAUAAUGUCCGCUUAUAUUAAUUUCAAUAACAAACGUCUUUUUAAAAACUUUAUCAUUGCUUAUUUCCUGUUGAAUAUUCCUUAAGGAACAAAUAUGAUAUAAUAAGUAUUUCGUAAAGAUAAAAAAUGAUAUUCCCCGUUUCACUUUUCAAUAAAAAGGGGAAAAGAAGGGGGAGGGGGCUAUAUAUUUUUUUUAUUUACCUUGGUACAGUGUAUCUAAUUUCACUAUGUUUGGAAAUACAAUUCCUUGGAUUGUUUCUUUUUUUGACUACUAUAUACUAAUCUGUUUGAUACCUACUAAGACAAAGAUUGAUUUCCUUUAUCUUAUUUUCAUGUAAAAUGUGACCGGUUUGACCCAACAACAUCUGCUAGAUAUUCCAGAGAUGGGUCCGAUUACUUUCAAUGUAAUUGAUUAAAUAAAAAUUACUUUGUCAAUUGUACGAUUAAAUUAAAUUAAUUAUUUCAUUUCUGUAAGUGUCUGAUAAAUUAAUGAUUACAUUUACAAAGUAAUCAUGAUUACAUCUGAUUACAAUGAAUUGAAAAAAAACAUUUUAAAUGAGGUUAAUGAAUAAACGUUUUUCAUAUGACUAUAGUAUUUUUAAGAGUUUUUCAUUUGAUAUACAUUCCCCAUUUCGUUUCUCAAUUUUAUAAAAUGAUAACCUUCCUCUAUUUAAUAAAUCUCAAAAGUUCACUACAUACACUGACACAUAUACACGAACAUUGUGUCACUGGUCAUAUUGGUUAUGGCCUAUUACACUUUAUCGUCAUUGAUCUCUGAUUAAUGUUGACGUCAAUUUAAUUAAGGUUUAUAAAGAGUUAGCUGCUUGUCCAUUUAUCUCUUCCAGACUUUAUAUGUAUUUCAAGAUGAGUUUAUGGAAGUUAAAAUCUGGAUGAAAUAAAGUUGCCAGUAUAAAAUUAAGUCAAAGUUUUAUAUGAUUGUUUAAUCAAAUUGUAAACAAAAUAUAAGUACUAAAAAUCAUUGCAUUUUACAUUUGCAGUCCAAAUACAUACCAACAUCUGUUUGUUUUAAACAACAUUUUGAUUUUUGUUUGUGUGCUAAUUACAUGUAGAUAAAUUUUCAAAUUUGUAUAUAUAUUGCCCUACAGCUAUACACAAUAGAGUUGGUAUUUGCAAUAAAAACAAACCUUAAUUGUACUCCAGGAGUACCUGUCAAUUCAAUGUUGACAAAAAUAACGUUAACAAAAGAUUAUAAAUCAGGGUUUUUGAAAAUAUUUCUUGAAUAUAACAGUAACUAUCAAAUAUAUAUACAUGUAUGUACAUCUUUAAAUUGUUAAUAUAUGCACAAUAUAUUUUACUAAGGCCAGAGACAUAUAUGUUUCUGCUUAGGCUAAUAAUAACUUUUCAACACUGUGAGAGCUUAGUUUUUACUGAAUUAUAAAAAGCAUUUAACAUGCUUAAAGUAGACUAAACUAUUUCAACAUGUUAAAUAUUCAAUUAACUCGAAUAAAUAAAAGGUUAAUUUAUUUACCAUAAACACAGUUUUAAUUUUUUUGCAUUGUAAUCAGAAUGUAAUCAGAAGUAAUCAGGAUUACAGGGUAUUUCGAAAAGUAAUUGAUUUUGGGCUGAUUAAUGAUUACAAUGAUUACUUGAAAAUUUUUAAUCAAUUACAGCUGAUCAAUGAUUACAAUCACUCUUCAACUCUGAGAUAUUCCUGUAAUGUUUGGAAAUAUUGCGCUUUGUAAUUUCCGAAGUACGAGGUAUGCCCCUUGGAAGAAAUUGUAACGGAAAUUGCAUUACAUUUGCUUUGAAGCAUUCAUUUCUUUAAGAUCAUUAUAAAAAGUUUUAACAAGGACAAUAACCGAAAAAAAAAUCUUAUAUUUUGUAAUUGUCCUUGACAACAUUUCAUGUGUUUUAAAAUUACAAAAACUAUAUAUGAAAAAACUUCUAAAUGUUAUAGUCGAAUGUGUGUCGAGUACUUUCGAGGGAUUAUAGUUUCAAGUUAAAGAUAUAUGUUUCUAGCCUCUUGUGGAUUGUAUACUUAGUAAAUUAAAAGAACGACAAGUGUGCGGUGAUUGAAAAUAUGAUUGUUGUCGCGGUGAAUUACUUAUUAUCGAGCACAAAUAUUUACAAAAACUGGUAUUUGCUGUUAAUUCGCUAAGCAUACUGCAAAAUAGAGUUAUUGACUCGGUGGUCAGAAGCUUUAGUAAGCCAACACGUCUUAUGUUAUGAAUGUCAUUUUCUGAAUAUUAGCCUUUUAAAAUAAUGAUAUUGAAUUUAAAUGAAACUUUAACUUUGUAUUAAUAUUAAAGGCCUUAACAAUAAAUUAAAUUAUAACCAAUAAAGUAUGCGAGACAUUUCAGAACAUAUCAGAGUAUUCAUGUAAGGUCAUGCAAUCUAUUUUAGGAUUAUGGCAACCAAAUGGGGUAUUUGUGGUGUUUGUGAAAACCUUCAGAUUACCAAACCUUCAGUUGUAUGGUGUUCCGAAUGUGACGAAGGACUUUGUGAAGAGUGUAAGAAACAUCAUGCGGUUUCUAAGGCAUCAAAAAACCAUGAAACCGUUUCUAUCGCCAAAUACAAAAUCUUACCCACCGAAGUCCUGCAAAUCUCUCAGACCUGCAAACUUCAUAAUGAGAAAUACGAGCUGUUUUGUGCAAAACACGAUUGUCCUUGCUGUAAGAAAUGUGUGAAAUCUCACAACGAUUGUAAAGGUUUAACUGACAUAAAUGAACUCAUAAGAAACGUAAAAACUUCCAACGCAUUUUAUGAAAUCGAACAAACCCUGCAGGAAGUCGUCGAGAAUAUUAAACGACUAAGAACAAACAGGAAUAAAAAUUUAAAAUCUAUAGGAAACAAGAAAAGAGAAAUUGAAGCAGAAAUAAAACAAACCAGGAUACAAGUAAAUCACCACCUUGAUAAACUUCAGGAUGGCUUGAUUAAAGAACUAAUGACAGUUGAACGGAGAGAAAAAAGCAAAAUAGAAAAAUUAUUGACUACUCUGAAACAGAAGGAAAAAGAUAUCACUGAAGUACAAGAACAAUUUGCCAGUAUUAAACAGCAUGCGUCCGAACUUCAAACAUUUUUAACGAUGAAAGAUAUCGAAAAAAAUAUUGCAGGCGAAGAAAUAUUUAUUCAAUUGAUUGCCACAAGUGACUCCACAAAUCAAGUCAAUAUUUCAUGUCAGAUUAACAAGUCUUUGCAACAAAUUACAGAUAGCGUACAGAGGUUUGUGGAAAUUAAUGUUUGUUCUGAUCCAUGUGAUUUUUCGAUUCACAAACAGAAGGAUAGACAAGCCCAGAUUAUGGUCACUCUUCCAACCAGAAACAUCGAUAACAUGACUCUUACAAUACAGAAAUGUAUCAAUACAGAGUCGUCAGCAGUCUAUGGUUGUGCACUGCUUCCUGGUGACAGGAUGGUAUUCUCCUCUUAUUUUGACAAUACAUUGACAGUACUCAAGUCUGACGGAUCAAAAGAUUUUGAGAUAAAGAACAUUGGUCGAAUGUUUGAUGUGGCAUUUAUUGGUGAUGAUUCUAUUGCUGUAACUUCCAGUGAAUCAAAUCAGAUCAAUAUAAUCGACUUAAAGAAGAAAUCAAAGACGAAAUCAAUAAAAGUUGAUUCAUAUAAUGGUGGAGUAGCAUACAAAGAUGGAUAUUUAAUAUAUUGUGCCGCAGAGAAAGGAAUACAGAUGAUCAGUCUGAAUAACGAAACAAUUACAAAUGUUAACAAUACCAAACUUUCAGAUCUUGCGUACGUUACAACAUUCGGUGACAAAUUGUUCUACACAGAUUUCAAUAAUGACAGCGUAACCUGCUGUGAUUACCAUGGUCACACACUGUGGACGUUCUGUGAUAAAAGUCUUCUGCUGUGUCCGCUAGGUAUCUCUGUAGACAAUGAUGGUAACGUGUAUGUAGUGGGAGGUGAUACUAGCAAUGUGGUUGUUAUCUCUACUGAUGGACAACACUACAGACAACUCCUAUCAAUUGAAGAUGGACUGAGCUUCCCAUUGGCUCUGCAUUAUGACACGUCUACCAAUGAAUUGUUAGUUGCAUGUCCAUCAAAUGAAGCCUUUCUGUAUGAUGUUAAAUGAAAAGAAAUGAAGAUUGACUUUUUCAACCUUAUUCAACAUUUUCUUGAUCUCGAUUACAAAUAUUAUUUUAAUUGAAUUAUAUAAUUUUUUUGUGAUCUAAUUAAGAUCUGUUUAAAAUUAUUUUAUAGCGUUAUUAACUGACAAUUUCUGUAUUGGCCCUGUUAUAGAUUUGAGGUGAUCUGUAUUGGACCCGAGACUCGAUAACAUCUUAUCGAGAUUAUACAGAAAAAUUAAACUUCUAAGGAUUCAUUAUUAUUCGUGGGGUACAAGUUUUAGUGGAUUUCGUUGGUAUAGAUAUACCACAAAUUACAGUUAUGAGGCAGCAAUUCAUCUAAAAAUAGAUCUAAGAAUAGUUCUAUGUGAAUAAUAGAAAAUGUCUGUCAUACGUUUUCGAAAAAAAGUAUAUUAUGACAGUUCCGUAUAAAUAAAAGGAGAUGUCAGACAACAUCCCUACUUAAUAUCAAAGACAGUUUAAUUUGAAGAUGUCUGUUAAAAAGUUCAGUAUAAAUAAGCAAGGAAAUGCGUUACACGUAAACGAGACAACAACAUAAUGACAAAAUUAACAUAACAACUUUCAAUUUAAGUAAAGAAGAUGUUGGUAUUACGUACAUGAGGCAGUUAGGCAAUGUCACAAUAGUUAGAAUAAUCAAUUCGCUUCAAAUACGUUAUAUGAUUAUCAAUAAGGAUAUUCGGUCAUGAUUAUCAAGACGGAGCUUUUGUCAUGAUUAUCAAUAAGGAGAUCCGGACAUGAUAGUCAAUAAGGAGUUCGGACAUGAUAGUCAAUAAGGAGAUUCGGAAUGAUAAUCAAUAAUGACAUUAAGACAUAAUUGUCAAUAAGGAGAUUUGUUCAUGAUUGUCAAUA